AGUCUGAUGAGCACAUUCCACCCUCACACUGAGGAGCGCUGGUAGGUUGCAUCGCGACAUGAUCAACUCCUCUCAUUGUCGUCUGGGAAGUAGGGGGCUGUGCACAUCUACGUGAGUCACACAUCGCUAUGGUACAGCACUAGGGAUAGCUUCGGUAGAAUAGAGAAUUGACCGUUUUCAACCGGCCUUUGGGCAGAUUCACUCUCAGUCUGUUACGAGUGUGUUUUCCUGGCUUCGCUAGGAAGGUCUACGCCCAGUCCAUGCCUUCCCGCUGACCAGAGCCUAUCGGUAACCCAGGCCACACAGGACAGACAGCAUUGCUCCAUUCUCACGACCUACUCUGUAGUCAGUCUGUGGCUGCCUUUCCAGAGCUUUCUUCCGCUGUUCUUCAGAGAAACAGAUGGAGAGUGGGCGAGAGCCAAACAGCGCAGGCGCAGCUCUGCCUGGAAUCUGGACAUCCGCGGUGCCAGGAACAAGCCUGAGACUCCUCCCCUGCUUCAGCAGAGGGCCAACACAGAACAUUCCAGGAGUCCCAGGUUCUCUUUCUGGGACCUCAUUUGGAGAAGGAGCAGAAUGCUAAAGGUUCUGUCUGGGCAGCUCAUCCGACACUUCCUCAGCACACCUUCCAGGGAUUGGAAUUAUCUUCCUGAUUCUUCCCGAAUCUUCGUAGUCUACAUGGGAAUGGCCAAUAAUGGUGACGUUGGAAACCAUGAAAUCUUUAGAAGAAAAGGUAUUGAAGCAAAUAGCGAAGGAUGGGUAACUCAGAAGAUAACGGAGACACCAGCCUGAGUCUACUGUGGCAUUCUGCCCCCUAAAUAGAGAUGCAAGGAUAAUGUGAAGAGGGUUCUGAGCACAGGAAGGGAAAUCAGAAUUUCCCUUUGCAACACCUUCCCUUCUUUCCCAUCACCCUUGGGUUUUGAGUGCUGAGCUGAAGUUUGUUUUGUCUUGCCUGUUGGCUCCAUUGGGGAAAGAGGAAGGGGAGGGUUAGAGCCAGAGUUAAAGAGGUCCCCUUCCUUUGUUUAAGAUACAGGCGGAAGGACGCUGUGAUGUGACAAGUUGUGUCUUUAACACGUAAACAGGUUCUAGAUUGUGCUUGCCCUUCCCCUCACCCCUGCACAUGCCAAACUCCAUUGGCUCUCCUCCGUGCCACAGUGUCCUGUCCUUGGCCCUGGCACUCUACAACUGCAUGGUGUCUGUCCUUAUGUCUCAGGCUGCUCCUUUCCGGUCCCCUUUCUGGUUCCUCCUACCCAUCCUUUAGAUGGUCUUUACCUUUGUAUUUUUUCCCCCAUGAAUCCUUUUUACUCAUUUCUUUAAUGAUGCUUUUCACAUCCAAGUUUCUAGACCAGAAAAUGUUGUCUGGACUUCAGAUUCAAAAAUUGCAGUUCCUCUCCAAAGUGCUGAGUGCAGUUCCGGGCUGCUUCCAUGUUCUGUUAAUUAAACAUUGAAAUUGGCUGAGAGA